rnacentral:rRNA from 1 species
AUUGAACGCUGGCGGCAUGCUUUACACAUGCAAGUCGAACGGUAACAGGGAGCUUGCUCCGCUGACGAGUGGCGAACGGGUGAGUAAUGCAUCGGAACGUGCCGUGUAGUGGGGGAUAACGUAGCGAAAGUUACGCUAAUACCGCAUACGCCCUGAGGGGGAAAGUGGGGGACCGCAAGGCCUCACGCUAUACGAGCGGCCGAUGUCGGAUUAGCUAGUUGGUAGGGUAAAGGCCUACCAAGGCGACGAUCCGUAGCGGGUCUGAGAGGAUGAUCCGCCACACUGGGACUGAGACACGGCCCAGACUCCUACGGGAGGCAGCAGUGGGGAAUUUUGGACAAUGGGCGCAAGCCUGAUCCAGCCAUGCCGCGUGAGUG